UACGGAGGGUGCAAGCGUUAUCCGGAUUUACUGGGGUUAAAGGGUGCGUAGGUGGGUCUGUAAGUCAGUGGUGAAAUCUCCGAGCUUAACUCGGAAACUGCCAUUGAUACUGACGGUCUCGAGUCCGGGAGAGGUGAGUGGAACUGCGAGUGUAGAGGUGAAAUUCGUAGAUAUUCGCAAGAACACCAGUGGCGAAGGCGGCCUGCUGGGCUGUUGCUGACGCUGAGGCGCGACAGCGUGGGGAGCAAACAGG
rnacentral:rRNA from 1 species